rnacentral:rRNA from 1 species
UACGAAGGGGGCUAGCGUUGCUCGGAAUCACUGGGCGUAAAGCGCACGUAGGCGGCUUUUUAAGUCAGGGGUGAAAUCCUGGAGCUCAACUCCAGAACUGCCUUUGAUACUGAGAAGCUUGAGUCCGGGAGAGGUGGGUGGAACUGCGAGUGUAGAGGUGAAAUUCGUAGAUAUUCGCAAGAACACCAGUGGCGAAGGCGGCUCACUGGCCCGGUACUGACGCUGAGGUGCGAAAGCGUGGGGAGCGAACAGG